rnacentral:rRNA from 1 species
AAAGAUCUAAAUAAGUUUAAAAAUUUUUGUUUUAAAAAAAAGUUGAAAAUUUAUUUAGUUGUGAAAUUCUAAUCGCUUUUAUUAAUAUCUAGUAGCUUUAGAAAUAAAUUUAGUUUAGAAUGAUUAGGAUAACUUUAUUUUUAAAAAAUUCUUGAUUCAUUUUUAAAUCUUUGGGGAUGAGCUCUAAGAUUUUUUAUAAGGAGAUAUAAUUUAUUAUAUUUUUCAUAGACUUAGAAUUAGUCAUAAUAACUUGUUAUAAAUUAUAACUUAAAGUGUUAGAUUUUAUUUCCUUUUAUUUAUAUAAAGCUAAUUAUAAAAUUUAUUUAUUUUUGUAAAUAUGAUAAUAUUAGUAGAUAUUUUAUAAAUAGAGAGAAUUUUUUUUUAAAUUUUUCUUCAUUAUUUAUAAAAAAAGAUUUAACAAAAGAACUCGGCAAUUUUAAUUUCCGAAUGUUUAACAAAAACAUUUCCUCCUAGAUUAGGAGGUAAGGCCUGCUCACUGAAGAUUUAAAGAGCCGCAGUAUCCUGACUGUGCUAAGGUAGCAUAAUCAUUAGUCUUUUAAUUGAGGACUGGUAUGAAUGGCUUAACGAGAAAUUGACUUUUUUUGUUAUAUAAAUUGAAUUUAAUUUUUUAGUGAAAAAGCUAAAAUUUUUCAGAAAGACGAGAAGACCCUAUAGAGUUUUAUGUUCAAUUAUAUUUUUAAUUAUUAGACUUUUUGAUGAUUAAUAUAAAAAAACAUUUUGUUGGGGCGACAUUAAGAUAUAAAAAACUCUUAUUUUUUAAAAUUUUUUUGAAAAUAUUUAUUGAUCCUUUAAAAAAGAUCAUAAGAAAAAAUUACCUUAGGGAUAACAGCGUAAUCUUUUUUGAGAGUUCUAAUCGACAAAAAGGUUUGCGACCU